GUACUCGAGUGGCGAACGGGUGAGUAACACGUGAGUAACCUGCCCUUGACUUCGGGAUAACUUCAGGAAACUGGGGCUAAUACCGGAUAGGAAUCCUUGCUGCAUGGUGGGGGUUGGAAAGCUUCGGCGGUUUUGGAUGGACUCGCGGCUUAUCAGCUUGUUGGUGGGGUAGUGGCUUACCAAGGCUUUGACGGGUAGCCGGCCUGAGAGGGCGACCGGCCACAUUGGGACUGAGAUACGGCCCAGACUCCUACGGGAGGCAGCAGUGGGGAAUAUUGCACAAUGGGCGGAAGCCUGAUGCAGCAACGCCGCGUGCGGGAUGACGGCCUUCGGGUUGUAAACCGCUUUCAGCAGGGGCGAAGCUUGUGGUGACGGUACCUGCAGAAGAAGCACCGGCUAACU
rnacentral:rRNA from 1 species